rnacentral:rRNA from 1 species
AGGAUCAUUUGCAAUGGGCGAAAGCCUGACAAUGCGACGCUGCGUGGAGGAUGAAGGCCUUCGGGUUGUAAACUCCUGUCAUGGGGGAACAGGCGAGGGGACCCAACACGUCCCUUAGUUGAGUGUACCCCAAGAGGAAGCGACGGCUAACUCUGUGCCAGCAGCCGCGGUAAUACAGAGGUCGCAAGCGUUGUUCGGAUUUACUGGGCGUAAAGGGCGCGUAGGCGGCAAGGCGUGUCGGAUGUGAAAUCUCCGGGCUCAACCCGGAAAGUGCGUCCGAAACUACCCUGCUCGAGUAUGGGAGGGGGAAUCGGAAUAUAGGGUGUAGCGGUGAAAUGCGUUGAUAUCCUAUAGAACACCGGAGGCGAAGGCGGAUUCCUUGAACAUCACUGACGCUGAGGCGCGAAAGUCGGGGGAGCAAACA